ACAAGAAUACAUAUAGUCUUAAAUUAGAGGGACAAAGGUUUAAAAAUAAUAUCAGGAAGUAUUACUUUACUGAGAGAGUAGUGGAUGCAUGGAAUAGCCUUCCAGCUGAAGUGGUAGAGGUUAACACAGUAAAGGAGUUUAAACAUGCGUGGGAUGGGCAUAAGGCUAUCCUAACUAUAAGAUAAGGCCAGGGACUAAUGAAAGUAUUUAGAAAAUUGGGCAGACUAG